rnacentral:rRNA from 1 species
GUUUACAGCCAAGCCGCCCUGAACGUGCCCGAUCCCGUCUGAUCUCGGAAGCUAAGCAGGGUCGGGCCUGGUUUGUACUUGGAUGGGAGACCACCUAGGAAGACCAGGUGCUGUAGGCG